rnacentral:rRNA from 1 species
UACGUAGGAUGCAAGCGUUGUCCGGAAUUACUGGGCGUAAAGCGCGCGCAGGCGGCACUCUAAGUACGUCGUGAAAUAUCCCGGCUCAACCGGGAGGGUGCGAUGUAGACUAGGGAGCUAGAGGUCGGUAGAGGGGGGUGGAAUUCCCGGUGUAGCGGUGAAAUGCGCAGAUAUCGGGAGGAACACCUGUGGCGAAAGCGGCGCACUGGACCAUAACUGACGCUGAGGCGCGAAAGCUAGGGGAGCAAACAGG